UAAGGAAUAUUGGUCAAUGGACGCAAGUCUGAACCAGCCAUGCCGCGUGAAGGAUGAAGGUCCUCUGGAUUGUAAACUUCUUUUAUCUUGGACGAAAACGGGAUUUUUAUCUCAAUUGACGGUACCAGAGGAAUAAGCACCGGCUAACUCCGUGCCAGCAGCCGCGGUAAUACGGAGGGUGCGAGCGUUAUCCGGAUUUACUGGGUUUAAAGGGUGCGUAGGUGGGCUUAUAAGUCAGUGGUGAAAUCUCCGAGCUUAACUUGGAAACUGCCGUUGNUACUAUAGGUCUUGAAUUAUCUGGAGGUAAGCGGAAUAUGUCAUGUAGCGGUGAAAUGCUUAGAUAUGACAUAGAACACCAAUUGCGAAGGCAGCUUACUACAUAUAAAUUGACGCUGAGGCACGAAAGCGUGGGGAUCAAACA
rnacentral:rRNA from 1 species